rnacentral:rRNA from 1 species
UACGUAGGAGGCAAGCGUUAUCCGGAUUUACUGGGCGUAAAGCGCGUGUAGGCGGUUCGGUAAGUUGGAUGUGAAAGCUCCCGGCUAAACUGGGAGAGGUCGUUCAAUACUGCCGGGCUAGAGGAUGGGAGAGGGAGGUGGAAUUCCGAGUGUAGUGGUGAAAUGCGUAGAUAUUCGGAGGAACACCAGUGGCGAAAGCGGCCUCCUGGCCCAUUUCUGACGCUCAGACGCGAAAGCUAGGGGAGCGAACGGG